CCUACGGGAGGCAGCAGUGGGGGAUAUUGCACAAUGGGGGAAACCCUGAUGCAGCGACGCCGCGUGUAGGAAGACGUUCCUCUGGAUUGUAAACUACUGUCCCCAGGGACGAAGAUGACGGUACCUCGGGCGGAAGCUCCGGCUAACUACGUGCCAGAAGCCGCGGGAAUACGUAGGGAGCGAGCGUUUUCCGGAAUUACGGGGUGUAAGGGGAGCGUAGGCGGGGAUGAAAGUUUGGUGUUAAAUCUACCGGCUCAACUGGGAGUCGCACUCAAAACUGCAGCUCUUGAGUGAAGUAGAGGCAGGCGGAAUUCCUAGUGUAGCGGUGAAAUGCGUAGAUAUUAGGAGGAACACCAGUGGCGAAGGCGGCCUGCUGGGCUUUUACUGACGCUGAGGCUCGAAAGUGUGGGGAGCAAACAGGAUUAGAUACCCCGGUAGUC
rnacentral:rRNA from 1 species